rnacentral:rRNA from 1 species
UACGUAGGGGCCUAGCGUUGUCCGGAUUUAUUGGGCGUAAAGAGCUCGUAGGCGGUUCGGCAAGUCGGAUGUGAAAUCUCCGAGCUUAACUUGGAAAUGGCAUUGGAUACUGGCGACCUAGAGUGCGGUAGAGGGGUGUGGAAUUCCCGGUGUAGCAGUGAAAUGCGUAGAUAUCGGGAGGAACAUCUGUGGCGAAGGCGACACCCUGGACCAGCACUGACACUGAGGCACGAAAGCGUGGGGAGCAAACAGG